CCGUGAUGCCACAAUGUUUCAUUUCAGACGGAGAAACGGCGAGAAAAGAUAGCCGGACAUAGCGGCGGCAUUUCCCCAGACACUUUAGUCUUUGCUGUAUCCCACCUUGCUGGGAAUCGUUUUUAAAGACGGUGUCAGACAAGACCACAAACUUCGGGGUUACGCCUGCCUUUCCCAGAUGACUGCCAUCAGACACUCUUGAUUCCGAUAUCAGAACUCUAAAAUAGAAACUGGCCCUAUAGGACGGCAUCCAUUUGUGGUCAGACCAAAGCUAGGGCUCAUAUCUCCUCUCUCUUUCUGGUCUUUUCAGUGUAUAAACACGAGAUGAUUUUUUUUUUAAAUCUGGCUCUGUAGUUUUGUCAUUGGAUUCUUUGAAUGACUUUACAAACGACUUUUUCUAGCAUGCAGCAGGAAAACGCGACACAAUCGGUGCCGACGUGUGUCUCCUUGAAGGGAUGUGAGGGCAGGACUUUGUUGGAUUGCAGUUGGGGGUGUCCUGCAGCGUUUUGGGUACGCUGCAGGCAAGAGAGGGAAACCUGGCUCAGACCACGGCUGAAGCUUUGGAACCUUUCAAAAUCACUGCGACAAGCAGACGAAGAUACAGACAGAAAAUGGACCCCAAGGAUAGUGCCUAGGGGGACUCCACAAGAAGUAGCACCUGAAGCAGAACUUGACAGAAAGAAGAGAGAAAAGCUCCUUGUUCUAAUGUGUGUGUGUGUGUGUGUGUGUGUGUGUGUGUGUGUGUGUGUGUGUGUGUGUGUGUGUGUGUGUGGAAUAACUGUAAAUGUAACAUCACCCAAAGUGAAACUGAUUAUUUGGAUUUAGGGGCAGAGCCAGUUCAACUAUACAAAAGUACAGACACAAAGAAACUAUCUCAGGGGAGGGAAAAGCUUCAAGAAUGAAAAAGCACAGAAAGUGAAAUCGAUCAUGUCUUUGUCUUUAUUUGCCUGCUGGAAUCAAGGUUUUCUCUUCUGUCGAUCGCUUGGAUGAUCCCUGACCCUGUGGGCCCACGUGAAAGAAAACCACCCAGGGAAGAGGAGAGCAUCCUUACAUCACGACAGCCCAUAAGACUCUUAAUGCUUAGAGGACUCAAAGUUAAUGUUAGUCACACUGACACAUGUCAAGAGGAGGUUCAGCUGCGGGAGACGUUACCAGAUGCAAAGUCUGAUUUGUUCGCUCCAUUGAGGCAUCCCUCAGAUUAAAGCGCAACAUGAUUCUACACCUUGUACGGUCUAUUGAGAAAACAACCCUUUUAUAACUGUAAAAGCAGCCUUCAUAGAGGCUAAACAUUUCCAAAGAAAAAAAGGAUCUAUCCAAGGAUGAAUGAAAGUCCUAUAUGUUCCCAAGAGAGGUUGAUUUCUGGCAGAAUUAUUUCAUUUCUGGUUCGAUGUAUCGUCACUCUUUUUGCAGAGAAGUUGAUGAAACAUGCAGAAAGAGCAGAGUUAAAGAACUGUUCUGAGUGCAGUGGGGGGUUUUCAUAGGUUUCUUCUUCCCAGAGUGGUGCUUAACUCCUCUCAAAGUCAAUACCGCAGCACCCGCGAACCUACAUCUUAAACUCAAAGCUGGAUUUUUCGCUCAAAAGAUGUGCAGGAAUCAGGCAGGUGCCUCCCUCUGGGCCGAGGGUGGAGAAAAGAGGCCUGUGUUGCUCCAUCGUGCGCACAUUUCUCUCUUUCGGGUUGCUGAAUCUCCCCCCUCUGCAGUAAUCAACCCCCCGCCUCCGGCCGUGCAGAGCGGCGGCCUGGCGGCGCGCUCGGUGAGCCUCGAAGACGAGGUGUCAGGAGGAGCUGCGACUGGAACACGGAUUACAUGAAUAAUGAGACGG
rnacentral:lncRNA from 1 species